UUAAUUGAAGAGUUUGAUCAUGGCUCAGAUUGAACGCUGGCGGCAGGCCUAACACAUGCAAGUCGAGCGGUAACAGAAAGAAAGCUUGCUUUCUUUGCUGACGAGCGGCGGACGGGUGAGUAAUGCCUGGGAAUAUACCCUGAUGUGGGGGAUAACUAUUGGAAACGAUAGCUAAUACCGCAUAAUCUCUUCGGAGCAAAGAGGGGGACCUUCGGGCCUCUCGCGUCAGGAUUAGCCCAGGUGGGAUUAGCUAGUUGGUGGGGUAAUGGCUCACCAAGGCGACGAUCCCUAGCUGGUCUGAGAGGAUGAUCAGCCACACUGGAACUGAGACACGGUCCAGACUCCUACGGGAGGCAGCAGUGGGGAAUAUUGCACAAUGGGGGAAACCCUGAUGCAGCCAUGCCGCGUGUAUGAAGAAGGCCUUCGGGUUGUAAAGUACUUUCAGUUGUGAGGAAGGCGUUGGAGUUAAUAGCUUCAGCGCUUGACGUUAGCAACAGAAGAAGCACCGGCUAACUCCGUGCCAGCAGCCGCGGUAAUACGGAGGGUGCGAGCGUUAAUCGGAAUUACUGGGCGUAAAGCGCAUGCAGGCGGUCUGUUAAGCAAGAUGU
rnacentral:rRNA from 1 species